rnacentral:rRNA from 1 species
UCCUGGCUCAGAUUGAACGCUGGCGGAAUGCUUUACACAUGCAAGUCGAGCGGCAGGCGCGGGGGGCAACCCUGGCGGCGAGCGGCGAACGGGUGAGUAACAUAUCGGAACGUACCCCGUCGUGGGGGAUAACACAGCGAAAGCUGUGCUAAUACCGCAUACGACCUGAGGGUGAAAGCGGGGGAUCGCAAGACCUCGCGCGAUGGGAGCGGCCGAUAUCGGAUUAGCUUGUUGGUGAGGUAAAGGCUCACCAAGGCGACGAUCCGUAGCUGGUCUGAGAGGACGACCAGCCACACUGGAACUGAGACACGGUCCAGACUCCUACGGGAGGCAGCAGUGGGGAAUUUUGGACAAUGGGCGAAAGCCUGAUCCAGCCAUGCCGCGUGAGUGAAGAAGGCCUUCGGGUUGUAAAGCUCUUUCGGUGGGGAAGAAAUUGCAUAGGCUAAUACCCUAUGUAGAUGACGGUACCUGGAGAAGAAGCACCGGCUAACUACGUG